rnacentral:rRNA from 1 species
AUUGAACGCUGGCGGCAGGCCUAACCCAUGCAAGUCGAACGAGUGGCGGACGGGUGAGUAAUGUCUGGGAAACUGCCUGAUGGAGGGGGAUAACUACUGGAAACGGUAGCUAAUACCGCAUACCAUCGGAUGUGCCCAGAUGGGAUUAGCUAGUAGGUGGGGUAACGGCUCACCUAGGCGACGAUCCCUAGCUGGUCUGAGAGGAUGACCAGGAACACUGGAACUGAGACACGGUCCAGAGUCCUACGGGAGGCAGCAGUGGGGAAUAUGGCACAAUGGGAGAAAGCCUGAGGCAGCCAUGCCGCGUGUAUGAAGAAGGCCUUCGGGUUGUAAAGUACUUUCAGCGGGGAGGCGUUACUCGCAGAAGAAGCAUCGGCUAACUAGGUGCCAGCAGCCGCGGUAAUAC